UCGAGCGAACCCUUCGGGGUGAGCGGCGGACGGGUGAGUAACGCGUGGGUAACCUGCCCUGUACACACGGAUAACAUACCGAAAGGUAUGCUAAUACGGGAUAACAUAUGGGAGUCGCAUGGCUUUUGUAUCAAAGCUCCGGCGGUACAGGAUGGACCCGCGUCUGAUUAGCUAGUUGGUAAGGUAACGGCUUACCAAGGCAACGAUCAGUAGCCGACCUGAGAGGGUGAUCGGCCACAUUGGAACUGAGACACGGUCCAAACUCCUACGGGAGGCAGCAGUGGGGAAUAUUGCACAAUGGGCGAAAGCCUGAUGCAGCAACGCCGCGUGAGCGAUGAAGGCCUUCGGGUCGUAAAGCUCUGUCCUCAAGGAAGAUAAUGACGGUACUUGAGGAGGAAGCCCCGGCUAACUACGUGCCAGCAGCCGCGGUAAUACGUAGGGGGCUAGCGUUAUCCGGAAUUACUGGGCGUAAAGGGUGCGUAGGCGGUCUUUCAAGCCAGAAGUGAAAGGCUACGGCUCAACCGUAGUAAGCUUUUGGAACUGUAGGACUUGAGUGCAGGAGAGGAGAGUGGAAUUCCUAGUGUAGCGGUGAAAUGCGUAGAUAUUAGGAGGAACACCAGUAGCGAAGGCGGCUCUCUGGACUGUAACUGACGCUGAGGCACGAAAGCGUGGGGAGCAAACAGGAUUAGAUACCCUGGUAGUCCACGCCGUANACGAUGAGUACUAGGUGUCGGGGGUUANCCCCCUCGGUGCCGCAGCUAACGCAUUAAGUACU
rnacentral:rRNA from 1 species